rnacentral:rRNA from 1 species
AGAUGAUGUCAGACGCAAGCGAAGCAUUUGAUUGAAGCCCGAGUAAACGGCGGCCGUAACGAUAACGGUCCUAAGGUAGCGAAAUUCCUUGUCGGUUAAAUACCGACCUGCAUGAAUGGCGUAACGAGAUGGGAGCUGUCUCAACCAGGGAUCCAGUGAAAUUGUAGUGGAGGUGAAAAUUCCUCCUACCCGCGGAAAGACGGAAAGACCCCGUGCACCUUUACUACAGCUUGACACUGUAGCUUGGAUAUUCAUGUGCAGGAUAGGUGGGAGGCUAUGAUGCUAGGACGCAAUUACUAGCGGAGCCAUCCUUGAGAUACCACCCUUGAAUAUUUGAGUUACUAACUGCGACGAGUCAACCUCGUUCAGGACAAUGUCUGGUGGGUAGUUUGACUGGGGCGGUCGCCUCCUAAAAAGUAACGGAGGCUUACAAAGGUUAGUUCAUGGCGGAUGGAAAUCGCCAGUUGAGUAUAAUGGCAUAAACUAGCUUGACUGUGAGACAUACAAGUCGAACAGAGAC